AUGCCCAGGCCUGCGGUGGAGCCCUGGCCAGGGCAGCCAGCACAGGGCCAGCGGCCUCGCCUCCCAAGGUCACCCAGCACCUGCCCCAACCCCCAAGAAGCAUCUCCAGAAAAGCAGCCUUUCCUGGCGAAGUGCCAAGCGGGCCCCUCAAGAAAGCACAGGAGCCCAGUUCCGUCAAGUCUGGUUUUAUUGAGAAACAGCAGCAUCGGGGGCCACGUAGGCGGAGGGGCCACAGCACUCCCCACCCCUCCUGCUGCUCACACGCCCACAGGAGGCCUGGGACCCCCCCCCCCACCCGCCCCUGGCCCAGCAGCCUGUCUGCUCUGCAACUUGGCCGGCUGCCCCUCCGGGCCCUCUCAAGGGCGGUUUUGGCGCAUCCUGGGGUCUCAGGGAAGUUGCCACGGUCGUGGACCCAUAAACAGUAAACCACAGGAAGUGCAACCAGCCACCACGAAAUGGUCUGGGCUCUGUGCCCCCAAAGACACAGUGUCCACAGCAGUUGUGGUCAAACAGCCUGGCCAAGGUGACGCCAUGUUAUCAGCUCUGAUCACAGCUCGUCUGGCUGAGUGUCCACCCUGCCACUCUCCCCGCACACCCAGAGACGCAGGCAAAGGCUCAUCCUGGGUCGCCCCUGCUUCACACAGGCCCAUCCAGUGCCAUCCACCGGGGGGGAAGGGCACACUACAUUCAAGGUCCGCGGGGCCCUGGGGAAGGCCCAGGGGGAGGGAGAGGGCCCAGCGCCGAGCCGUGGACGCGGCCACCUGCCAGGACCCCGCUGCUCGGCACAGGGCUUGGGGCCAGCCUGUCCAGGCUGGAACGGGAGGUCCUCGGCUACCGGGCUCCCUCCCCGGCACCACACCCUUGCACAUGUGUGCACACACAUGCACGUCCACACACAGGCACAGGCAUGCCCGUGCACAUAUGGUGAGCACACGUGUGCAUACACACAGGCACACAUACACGUGUGCACACGCACACCACACACACACACAGCCACACAGGCACACACACCAGACACACUCCGUCUUCAAAAUGGCUAAUUAUUGCUGUUAA
rnacentral:lncRNA from 1 species